rnacentral:rRNA from 1 species
AUUGAACGCUGGCGGCAUGCCUUACACAUGCAAGUCGAACGGUAACAGGUCUUCGGAUGCUGACGAGUGGCGAACGGGUGAGUAAUACAUCGGAACGUGCCUAGUAGUGGGGGAUAACUACUCGAAAGAGUGGCUAAUACCGCAUGAGAUCUACGGACGAAAGCAGGGGAUCGCAAGACCUUGUGCUACUAGAGCGGCGGAUGGCAGAUUAGGUAGUUGGUGGGAUAAAAGCUUACCAAGCCGACGAUCUGUAGCUGGUCUGAGAGGACGAUCAGCCACACUGGGACUGAGAAACGGCCCAGACUCCUACGGGAGGCAGCAGUGGGGAAUUUUGGACAAUGGGCGCAAGCCUGAUCCAGCAAUGCCGCGUGCAGGAUGAAGGCCUUCGGGUUGUAAACUGCUUUUGUACGGAACGAAAAGCCCCGGGUUAAUACCCUGGGGUCAUGACGGUACCGUAAGAAUAAGCACCGGCUAACUACGUGCCAGCAGCCGCGUAA